GGAGUCGGCCGGGCGGCCGCGGGCGAGAGCUCGAGGAAAGUCCGGACUCCGAAGGGCAGGGUGCUGGGUAACGCCCAGGCGGGGCGACCCGCGGAAAGCGCAACAGAGAGCAGACCGCCCCCGCGAGGGGGUAAGGGUGAAACGGUGAGGUAAGAGCUCACCAGCGGGCCGGGUGACCGGCUCGGCUCGGCAAGCCCCACCCGGAGCAAGGCCAAGCAGGGAGCGUUCGAGGGUGGCCCGCCCAAGCUCCCGGGUAGGCCGCACGAGGGGCGUUCGUCGUACGGGAGCGCCCCCGGGGUCCCGCGGAAGCGGGGCUCAGAGGGAUGGCCGCCGCCGGCCCGCGAGGGCCGGAACAGGAUCCGGCUUACAGGCCGGCUCCCCCU
rnacentral:RNase_P_RNA from 1 species